rnacentral:rRNA from 1 species
GGAAUAUUGGGCAAUGGAGGGAACUCUGACCCAGCGACGCCGCGUGCGGGAUGAAGGCCUUCGGGUUGUAAACCGCUUUCAGCAGGGAAGAAGCGAAAGUGACGGUACCUGCAGAAGAAGCACCGGCUAACUAUGUGCCAGCAGCCGCGGUAAUACAUAGGGUGCAAGCGUUGUCCGGAAUUAUUGGGCGUAAAGAGCUCGUAGGUGGUUCGCCACGUCGGAUGUGAAAAUCUGGGGCUCAACCCCAGACCUGCAUUCGAUACGGGCGAGCUAGAGUGUGGUAGGGGAGACUGGAAUUCCUGGUGUAGCGGUGGAAUGCGCAGAUAUCAGGAGGAACACCAAUGGCGAAGGCAGGUCUCUGGGCCAUUACUGACACUGAGGAGCGAAAGCGUGGGGAGCGAACAGGAUUAGAUACCCUGGUAGUCCACGCCGUAAACGAUGGGCACUAGUUGUGGGAACCUUCCACGGUUUCUGCGACGCAGCUAACGCAUUAAGUGCCCCGCCUGGGGAGUACGAUCGCAAGAUUAAAACUCAAAGGAAUUGACGG